GGUAAAUGCUAAUUCUUUAAAAUGGGGUAUUUUAUGGUAAGUAGACAUUUCACAGUGGUAUCUGUGCAAUUAACUCGUACCAAAAAGAAUAUACCAUAAAAUACAAAAUAAGUAGGUAUAGGUACAUUGGGGGAGUUAAAGAGUGUUUGUUACUUAGGAAGGGUGGCUAGGGCUAAACUCGUGUGACCUCCAACAACCAAAAAAGUUGUUAUUACCAAACACGUUUUUCUCUAUAAAUACAAGUUUUUUUGUUAGCUUCUAUACACACAGUAAAGGUGCUACUUCCUUCUCAUUUCAAUCAUAAUUAUUAAUAUUACUUCAUCAAUUCAUGGAGAAUAUUACCAAGAAGAGAAGAAAACCAUUGAUUUCAUCGUCCUAUGUCGAGGAGAAGAGGUUGUAGUAAGAUUUGUGUGGAACACUCAUUUGAGCAAGAUAUAUUUGUCGGCUAACACGAUGAUGGCACGAGGGUUAUGGGGUUUUCGAGUACCUCGACCUCGGACCUUCAUCUGUUUUUAAUUUAUGUAGUUUUUAUUUAAUAAAGAUGUUAGUAGAUACACUCUAAAUUCAGUUCAUGUACUCGUGGAAUAUUCUUUGAGGCACAAAUAUAUUAAAAUGCGAUCGAUCUUGCUCCAGGGAGAUGAUUGUAGAACACUUUAUUUCACAUUAUGGAAUUAAAUUUAUGAGGGAUUUCAUGCAAUUUGUUUCUUGGUGAAACAAUGUACACCCGGUUUCUUUUUAAGUGUCGUUUAAGGUUAAUGCACAUCAAUUAAUAAAGUUACAAAUUAGCCUUGAU